UACGGGGGGAGCAAGCGUUGUUCGGAUUUACUGGGCGUAAAGGGCGCGUAGGCGGCCACCGCAAGUCAAUUGUGAAAUCUCCGGGCUUAACUCGGAAAGGUCAACUGAUACUGCGGGGCUAGAGUGCGGAAGGGGCAACUGGAAUUCACGGUGUAGCAGUGAAAUGCGUAGAUAUCGUGAGGAACACCUGUGGCGAAGGCGGCCCCCUGGUUGGAUACUGACGCUGAGACGCGAAAGCGUGGGGAGCAAACAGG
rnacentral:rRNA from 1 species